GAAAAGGAAAAAGAAUAAAGAGGAGAAGACACAUAGAUGCACACAGAGGGAGAAAGCCACGUGAAGAUGGAGGCAGAGGCGGGGGAUGCGCGUCUACAAGCCCAGGAAUGCUAUGAAACACCAGAAGCCGCCAGAAGCAGGAAGGGGGAGGAAGGAUUCUCUCUGGAACCUUCAGAGGGAGCAUGACCCAGCUGAAGCCUUGAUUCUGGACUCGCGGCCUCCGGAACCCUGCUGGGCUAAAAAAAAAAGGCAGACAGGGAGAGAGAUAAAGGAGGCUGCUCGAGAUUGCCAAUGAGUUAAGAUUCCUAGAAGAAAAAAGGAACAAGAA